rnacentral:ncRNA from 1 species
GGUCAGGUGUCACAGACUUAAUAGAGAAGCCGGUUCAAUGCCGGCGCGGUCCCGCCGCUGUGAGGUGGAGCCAGGCUGCAUGAUGUCACUGUACGUUUUUUUGUAUGGGAAGGCGCAGCUUUGGCCAUGAAACCAAGCCAGAAGAACUGCCUGACGGA